ACGGAAGGCAGCAGUGGGGAAUAUUGGGCAAUGGGCGAAAGCCUGACCCAGCAACGCCGCGUGAAGGGAGAAGGCCUUCGGGUUGUAAACUUCUUUUAUCAGGGACGAAGAACGUGACGGUACCUGAUGAAUAAGCCACGGCUAACUACGUGCCAGCAGCCGCGGUAAUACGUAGGUGGCAAGCGUUAUCCGGAUUUACUGGGUGUAAAGGGCGCGUAGGCGGGGAUGCAAGUCAGGUGUGAAAUCUAUGGGCUUAACCCAUAAACUGCAUUUGAAACUGUAUCUCUUGAGUGUCGGAGAGGUAGAUGGAAUUCCUAGUGUAGCGGUGAAACGCGUAGAUAUUAGGAGGAACACCAGUGGCGAAGGCGAUCUACUGGACGAUAACUGACGCUGAGGCGCGAAAGCGUGGGGAGCAAACAGGAUUAGAUACCCUGGUA
rnacentral:rRNA from 1 species